UACGGAGGGUGCAAGCGUUGUUCGGAAUCACUGGGCGUAAAGGGCGUGUAGGCGGUCCGCUAAGUCUGAUGUGAAAGCCCGAGGCUUACCCUCGGAAGUGCAUUGGAGACUGGCGGACUGGAGUCCCGGAGAGGAGGGUGGAAUUCCUGGUGUAGCGGUGAAAUGCGUAGAUAUCAGGAGGAACACCAAUGGCGAAGGCAGCUCGCUGGGACGUGACUGACGCUGAGACGCGAAAGCGUGGGGAGCAAACAGG
rnacentral:rRNA from 1 species